CCCCAGGCAGGCCUGGAGAGGUACACUGUCUGCACAGCACAACAGAGCCCAACACACCACACUCCCCAGGCAGGCCUGGAGAGGUACACUGUCUGCACAGCACAACAGAGCCCAACACACCACACUCCCCAGGCAGGUCUGGAGAGGUACACUGUCUGCACAGCACAACAGAGCCCAACACACCACACUCCCCAGGCAGGCCUGGAGAGGUACACUGUCUGCACAGCACAACAGAGCCCAACACACCACACUCCCCAGGCAGGCCUGGAGAGGUACACUGUCUGCACAGCACAACAGAGCCCAACACACCACACUCCCCAGGCAGGUCUGGAGAGGUACACUGUCUGCACAGCACAACAGAGCCCAACACACCACACUCCCCAGGCAGGCCUGGAGAGGUACACUGUCUGCACAGCACAACAGAGCCCAACACACCACACUCCCCAGGCAGGCCUGGAGAGGUACACUGUCUGCACAGCACAACAGAGCACCACACUCCCCAGGCAGGCCUGGAGAGGUACACUGUCUGCACAGCACAACAGAGCACCACACUCCCCAGGCAGGCCUGCCUAUCACAACACAGAACAUUUCAGGAAAUCAUAUUUUAGAUUGUUGAGUUUUUUGGACUCAGCUUAUAGCUGCUUAAAAUGAGUCUGCGAGCAGUAAAUGAGGAAGCAGCUUUCUUGCAGAGUUGAAGGAGCUGGCUACAGUGUGAUACGAUAGGGUUGUGGUGAACCACAGCGGUGAGAGGCAUCCACAACAGGGUCAGACUCGGUUAACAAGUCGACAUUUACUUCACUGAUGUUUUGCUACAAGUCAUUCUCUCAUUACUGAAAGUCUGAGGUAUUUUGGCAACACAACCUCCAAGCCAAAUGGAGACGUUUGCCAUAACUGCAGGCAACAUAUAUUAUGGAGUUUAUUUUACUUAUGGAGUGUGGCAUUUUCUGUAGAUUUUUCUGUAUUUCUUGGCCUCAUUGCAAAGCCUAACCCUCUAAAUAGGAUCAACAGUUGUAACAUGGUAAUAUCUAGACAUACAGUAUCCAUUUAUAACGCUGCUGUGAGAGAUUUCUACACAAAGUCCUGCCAGAUUAUUUUACACUGAAACAUUGAGAGGACAGGAAAUCGCUCUCAGAAACGUUGACACUUGGU